rnacentral:rRNA from 2 species
CCUACGGGAGGCAGCAGUGGGGAAUAUUGCACAAUGGGCGAAAGCCUGAUGCAGCAACGCCGCGUGAGUGAUGAAGGCCUUCGGGUUGUAAAGCUCUGUCUUCUGGGACGAUAAUGACGGUACCAGAGGAGGAAGCCACGGCUAACUACGUGCCAGCAGCCGCGGUAAU